rnacentral:rRNA from 1 species
AUGCACGCUGGCGGCGUGCCUAAUACCUGCAAGUCGCGCGAACAGACGAGGAGCUUGCUCCUCUGACGUUAGCGGCGGACGGGUGAGUAACACGUGGAUAACCUACCUAUAAGACUGGGAUAACUUCGGGAAACCGGAGCUAAUACCGGAUAAUAUAUUGAACCGCAUGGUUCAAUAGUGAAAGACGGUUUUGCUGUCACUUAUAGAUGGAUCCGCGCCGCAUUAGCUAGUUGGUAAGGUAACGGCUUACCAAGGCGACGAUGCGUAGCCGACCUGAGAGGGUGAUCGGCCACACUGGAACUGAGACACGGUCCAGACUCCUACGGGAGGCAGCAGUAGGGAAUCUUCCGCAAUGGGCGAAAGCCUGACGGAGCAACGCCGCGUGAGUGAUGAAGGUCUUCGGAUCGUAAAACUCUGUUAUUAGGGAAGAACGAAUGUGUAAGUAACUAUGCACGUCUUGACGGUACCUAAUCAGAAAGCCACGGCUAACUACGUG